GUAACGUUCCAUUAGAAUGAAGUGACUUUAACCUCUGUAAUGUAUUAGUCACUCCCAUUAAGUGACUUUAACCUCUGUAAUGUAUUAGUUACUCCCAUUAAGUGAAUAGUUUGUAGACUGGUUGUAUCAUAUCUAUUUUUAGAAAACUGGAUUGAUGGACAGCAGGUAGCAGGUAGCCUAGAGGUUAGAGAGGUGGACCAGCAACCACAAGUAGAGAAGUGAAGAACAAAAGAAACUUUCCAGCCAGCUGAACUCCCGAGGUUGUCAUGGAAACCAUCGCUUCAGAGAAAGGAGUGUUGGAAGAGGAAGGUUGGUUUCUGCGGCUCGGGUUUCCAGGGUGGUACCAGGAGCAGAGAGGAGCAGAGAGGAGCAGAGAGGAGCUGAGAAAAGGGAGGUGUGGAGCUUAUAGGACAGGGUCAAUAUUGUCCACAACUUUAUUACAGGUUACACAUCUUUAAACAGCCAAUCAAAGAGGUACUAAUCAACCUUGUUCCUGUUAAGGGC
rnacentral:lncRNA from 1 species